UGGGGGAUAUUGCACAAUGGGCGAAAGCCUGAUGCAGCGACGCCGCGUGGGGGAUGAAGGCCUUCGGGUUGUAAACUUCUCUUGCCCUGAACAAGGCAUGCCUUUGGGGUGUGUUGAGUGUAGGGGUUGAUUAGCGCCGGCUAACUACGUGCCAGCAGCCGCGGUAAUACGUAGGGCGCGAGCGUUGUCCGGAAUUAUUGGGCGUAAAGGGCUUGUAGGUGGCUGGUUGCGUCUGUCGUGAAAGCUCAUGGCUUAACUGUGGGUUUGCGGUGGGUACGGGCUGGCGUGAGUGCAGUAGGGGAGGCUGGAAUUGCGGGUGUGGGGGUGGAAUGCGCAAAUAUAAGGAGGAAUACCGGUGGCGAAGACGGGUCUCUGGGCUGUUACUGACGCUGAGGAGCGAAAGCGUGGGGAGCGAACAGG
rnacentral:rRNA from 1 species